GACGAACGCUGGCGGCGUGCUUAACACAUGCAAGUCGAACGAUGAUGCUGGAGCUUGCUUCAGUUGAUUAGUGGCGAACGGGUGAGUAACACGUGAGCAAUCUGCCCUUGACUCUGGGAUAACUGCGGGAAACUGUAGCUAAUACCGGAUACUUUCACCGGGGGGCAUCCUCUGGUGAUGAAAGAAUUUCGGUCAAGGAUGAGCUCGCGGCCUAUCAGCUUGUUGGUGAGGUAACGGCUCACCAAGGCGACGACGGGUAACCGGCCUGAGAGGGUGAGCGGUCAAACUAGACUGGAACACGGCCCAGACUCCACCGGGAGGCAGCAGUGGGGAAGAUUGCACAAUGGGCGCAAGCCUGAUGCAGCAACGCCGCGUGAGGUAUGAAGGCCUUCGGUUUGUAAACCUCUUUUAGCAGGGAAGAAGCGAAAGUGACGGUACCUGCAGAAAAAGCACCGGCUAACUACGUGCCAGCAGCCGCAGUAA
rnacentral:rRNA from 1 species